UACGGAGGAUCCGAGCGUUAUCCGGAUUUAUUGGGUUUAAAGGGUGCGUAGGCGGGCUGAUAAGUCAGUGGUGAAAGUUUGCAGCUUAACUGUAAAAUUGCCAUUGAAACUGUUAGUCUUGAGUACAGUAGAGGUAGGCGGAAUGUGUAGUGUAGCGGUGAAAUGCAUAGAUAUUACACAGAACACCAAUUGCGUAGGCAGCUUACUGAGCCGACACUGACGCUGAGGCACGAAAGCGUGGGGAUCAAACAGG
rnacentral:rRNA from 1 species